AAAGUCGUAACAAGGUUUCCGUAGGUGAACCUGCGGAAGGAUCAUUGUCGAAUAACAACCGGGGGCGUGCUCUGGUCCUGCACCGGUGGAGACACCGUGUUUGGCGGACCUUAGUACGUUUCUCAUCCACAUUCAAACCCCUGUGCACCUUUGGGAAAGGCAGGGUCGCAAGACCUUUGUCGGUCCCGUUUUUUACAAACUCUUAAGUUAUUUUGAAUGUCUGGCGGCAUAUGUCGUCCUAAAAUAAAUGACAACUUUCAACAACGGAUCUCUUGGCUCUC
rnacentral:misc_RNA from 1 species